rnacentral:rRNA from 1 species
AGAAAUCAAACAGAUCCCCCUAGUAGCGGCGAGCGAACGGGGAAGAGCCUAAACCAAACGUAUUCGUACGUUCGGGGUUGUGGGGCUCUCGUUAUGAGACCUUGUUUCGGUAGUUGAGCAACCUGGAAAGGUUGGGCAUAGAGGGUGAUACCCCCGUAAACGAAACUGAGACAGGCUCUAGAGAUGUCCCCAAGUACCACAGGACACGAGAAAUCCGGUGGGAAUCAGGGUGGACCAUCAUCCAAGGCUAAAUAUCUGCCAGCGACCGAUAGUGAAGAGUACCGUGAGGGAAAGGUGAAAAGUACCCCGUCGAGGGGAGUGAAAGAGUACCUGAAACCGUGUGUCUACAAGCUGUGGGAGGGCUAUUUUAUAU